GUGGAUGUGGCUCAGUGGUAGAGUGCCUGUCUAGAGUGCGUGAAACCCUGGGUUCAAUUCCUCAGCACCACA
rfam:Dipodomys ordii contig_49220, whole genome shotgun sequence.